rnacentral:rRNA from 1 species
CUACGGGCUGCUCCAGUUAGGAAUAAUCUGCAAUGCGCGCAAGCGUGACAGUUUGAGCCAGAGUGUCUGUCAAUGACAGACUUUUGCCAAAUGUAAAAAGUUUGGCGAAUAAGGACUGGGUAAGACUAGUGCCAGCCGCCGCGGUAAUACUAGCGGUCCAAGUCGCAGCCAUAUUUAUUGGGUCUAAAACAUCCGUAGCUUGUUGAAUAAGUUUUCUGUGAAAUUUUGGGGCUUAAGCUCGAAGCGAGCAGAAAGUACUGUUCAACUAGAGACUGGAAGACGGAAGAAGUACGUUUGAAGUAGCGGUAAAAUGCUUUAAUCUCGGACGGACUAACAAUAGCGAAGGCAUCUUCCGAGAACAGUUCUGACAGUAAGGGAUGAAGGCUAGGGGCGCAAAACGGAUUAGAUACCCUGGUAGUC